UUUCGCUUUCUCGGACGCACAAUGGGGCCGUGGAGCCUUUUCCUUUACACUCCCUUAUUUUCAUUUGGGUUUUUUGGUACUUUUUGACCGGGGCGAGGCGGGAAGUUUGGAGGUCGGGACACCCAGUGGACCCUGGAAACUCAACCCCCGUUUCCAGUUCCCUCCAGGGAGCUGAGGCAAGUCGAUAUAUUUCAUAGUGGAGAGAAAAAAAAAACCCGUCUCUUCGUUGCUCUCCUUUGAUGAUCUGAACGGGAUGAUAUCUUUAAAUGAUGUACGAUGAGGAGCCCCUACCCUCCGGAGCCAACUUGGUGGGAUUCAAGUUUCUCUCUCAUUUGGAUGCCAGCACCACAAAGGAUGGGUGUCCACCUGGAUCAGGAAUUCCACCUGGAGCAUGUCGCACUGAUGAUAUUGGCCAUUUGCAUUGGGGCUGCGAGGACCCAGAUAAUGCACAAAUACCUCACAAGUGCGAAAAGAAAAAAUAUGAAACUGGAAUUUGUGGAGAAGAACUAUAAUAGUUUCGUCCUGCAGAGUCUCAACAAGCAGAGAAGAAAGAGGGAAUUCUGGGACAUGGCACUAAACGUAGGCCAUCACGUUUUCUUUGCCCACCGCAGUGUGCUAGCUGCCGUUUCGCCACUUGUGUUGAGUCUGGUCUUAUGCAAUGAAAUGAAAGCUAGAGAUGAGCUCCUCAUCACUAUCGAUGCUGGCUACCUAAGCCCUUCUACUGUGGAACAGAUACUAGAUUAUUUCUACAGUGGAAAAGUGGUCAUUUCCGAAGAAAGUGUCGAGGAGAUGCUGAGGGGUGCCCAGUACUUCAACAUGCUGCGCCUGAAAGUCCACUGUUCUGAUUUCCUCGUAAGGAGCCUGACAAAAACCAACUGCCUGCAUUACCUAAUCUUGGCCGAGGCUUUUCAUCUGAACGAGGUCAUCGACAGCGCCUUCGCGAACAUCCGGGACAACUUCUACUACUGGGCCGGCUCGGAAGUGUCGGGGAAUUUCAUGCACUGCCCCGCCUUUGUGUUUGGGAGGCUACUCAAAGAUGAAAAUCUGCAUGUACAGAAUGAGGAUCAGGCCCUUAUCUCACUGCUUCACUGGCUGCAGUUCCGAAAAGAUCGGGAGAAAUAUUUCUUGGAGUUUUUCUCCUAUAUCAACUUAAAAGGAGUCUCAAAUAAGACUCUGCUCUUUGCCAGCAACAAAAUGCUGCUGGUAGAAAACCACAUGGAACUCCGGAUGCAAAUAGAGAACAUUUUGCUCGAUAGGAAGCAGGAAAAGCCUCAGAGCUUGCUUCAUUUCCAAAGGAAAGGUGCCUUGUUGGACGCAGUGAUCAUUUUAGGGGGUCAGAAAGCCCAGGGAAAAUUUAAUGAUGGCGUCUACGCCUAUAUCAUUGAGGAAGAUCUAUGGCUAAAACUCACAGAAAUGCCAUACAAAGCAGCAGCUCUGGGGGCGACUUCUAUCGGAAAGCAUAUUUACAUCUCCGGCGGAACCACGGAGCGGAUUUCGGGCUUGAAGACUGCUUGGAGGUAUGACAUGGAUGACAACUCUUGGACUAAACUGCCUGAUCUGCCCAUAGGGCUGGUAUUUCACACAAUGGUGACUUGUGGGGAUUCUGUGUAUUCUGUAGGAGGAAGCAUCGCUCCGAGGAAAUACGUCUCCAACAUUUUCCGGUACGAUGUGAAGAAAGAAAACUGGUGCCUGGCCGGGAAAAUGAGCAUCCCCAUGGAUGGGACAGCGGUGAUAACCAGGGGUGACAAAACCAUGUAUGUUGUGACGGGCAGAUGUGUGGUGAAGGGGUUCAUUUCUCGCGUAGGUGUUGUGGAUUGUUUCGACAUCAAAACUGGGGAAGUUGUGCAGUGUAUCACCUUUCCCAUCGAAUUCAACCACAGACCCCUCCUGUCUUUUCAGCAGGACAACAUUCUGAGUGUGUGCAGUCACAACCAGAGUGUGGACAUAAACCUGCAAAAAAUUAAAGCCAGCAGGUCGUUGAGCACGGUCCCUUUGCUGCCAAACAACUGUGCUCUGGAUGUCUCCCAUGCGAUGUGUUCGGUUGGUGACAACCUGGUGUUCGUCUGUGGGGGUGUCAUUUCUGUGAGAGAUAGUGAAAGUAAGGAUUACGUUAUCAAUCCAAAUGCCUACCUGUUAGACCAGAAGACAAAAGAAUGGAAGAUUCUGGCUCCACCUCCUGAAGCUCUGGAUUGUCCCGCAUGUUGCUCAGCCAAGCUGCCCUGCAAACUUCUUCAUAAGACCGAGGAUACCCCAGAGGAAAACUGAAGACACUUCUGUUCCUGGUUUUUCACAAAGAUUAAGAGGUUUUGGCCAGUGAUCCUCCUUUGAGCCCGAGGCUGUUUCUGAAUCGCACUGUACCAACCCCUGCCCACGCUGAGCUCGCAGUCCAAUAGUGCAGUGAUCCGCACAUGGUAAGUACCUAAUACACACCACUGAUUUCCACAUUUAAUUCAUCUGUAAAAUGUGCUUUAAGAUCGU